CUUUUAACGACUUGUUGUAAUCGUAGCUCGUUCCUCUUAUAAAUCAAUGGCAUUUAACACUUAAGUUGUAAACUGAACACUUAUAUACGUUACUAAACUGUCGAAGAUUCAAUCUGAAGUUUUAAGAGAUGACGGUGAUAGGUGAAAGUCCUGAAAACAGAGAAAACAUCCAAUACUUCCAGUUUAUUACAAUACACCUGAGAACGGAGUUCCCAAACAUACUGUGUAAGGUCAGACGGACGAGAAAACACACACGGCUGAUGCUGACCUCAAGCCCCAACUUCCUACUGACAAGCCAGUACAAGUCAAGGCAUGUUCCUGCUCUGCACAGCGCCCUCUGGUCUGCUUCAGAACUGAGAAUUUUAAAGAGGAGGAGCAUAAAGAACAGAAGAGAAAUAAGCUUGAGAGGACACAUUACAUCUCACCUUCUUCUGACUGUUAUGAGCAUGUUUAGAGAGUCACUUGUCCAAUAGAAAAAUACAGCGACAGACUUGUAUGAAGUUACCCCCAAAAUAAAAAUUUGCUCAUCAUUUACUCAUCCUCAUGUCAAUUUGACUUUAUUUCUGCAAAAGAAGAUACUUUGAAGAAUGUUGUUAACCGGCAUCCAUUCACUUGAAUUGGUUUUGUGUCCAUUCAAUAGGUACAUUUUGACAGUAUUUUCUAAAUGUAUAAAAAUGCCAAAGUAGUAUAAUGGUAU